rnacentral:rRNA from 2 species
UAACAAGGAUUCCCCUAGUAACUGCGAGUGAAGCGGGAAAAGCUCAAAUUUAAAAUCUGGCGGCUUUGCCGUCCGAGUUGUAAUCUGGAGAAGUGCUUUCUGUGCCGGACCGUGUACAAGUCUCUUGGAACAGAGCGUCAUGGAGGGUGAGAAUCCCGUCUUUGACACGGACUGCCGGUGCUAUGUGAUGCGCUCUCGAAGAGUCGAGUUGUUUGGGAAUGCAGCUCAAAAUGGGUGGUGAAUUCCAUCUAAAGCUAAAUAUUGGCGAGAGACCGAUAGCGAACAAGUACCGUGAGGGAAAGAUGAAAAGCACUUUGGAAAGAGAGUUAAACAGUACGUGAAAUUGUUGAAAGGGAAACGCUUGAAGUCAGUCGCGUCGUCCGGAACUCAGCCUUGCUCUUGCUUGGUGUACUUUCCGGUUGACGGGCCAACAUCGAUUUUGGCUGGCGGAUAAAGGCAGUUGGAAUGUGGCACCCUCGGGUGUGUUAUAGCCUCCUGUUGAACACGCUGGCCGGGAUCGAGGACCGCAGCGCGCCUUUUGGCCGGGGCUUUGCCCACGUAACGCGCUUAGGAUGUUGGCGUAAUGGCUUUAAACGAC